rnacentral:rRNA from 1 species
CAUGCAGUCGAGCGGACGACUUAACUGAACCUUCGGGGAACGUUAAGGGCGUCGAGCGGCGGACGGGUGAGUAAUGCCUGGGAAUAUGCCUUGAUGUGGGGGAUAACCAUUGGAAACGAUGGCUAAUACCGCAUAAUGCCUUCGGGCCAAAGAGGGGGACCUUCGGGCCUCUCGCGUCAAGAUUAGCCCAGGUGGGAUUAGCUAGUUGGUGAGGCAAUGGCUCACCAAGGCGACGAUCCCUAGCUGGUCUGAGAGGAUGAUCAGCCACACUGGAACUGAGACACGGUCCAGACUCCUACGGGAGGCAGCAGUGGGGAAUAUUGCACAAUGGGCGCAAGCCUGAUGCAGCCAUGCCGCGUGUGUGAAGAAGGCCUUCGGGUUGUAAAGCACUUUCAGUCGUGAGGAAGGGGUGUACGUUAAUAGCGUAUGUCUUUGACGUUAGCGACAGAAGAAGCACCGGCUAACUCCGUGCCAGCAGCCGCGGUAAUACGGGAGGGUGCGAGCGUUAAUCGGAAUUACUGGGCGUAAAGCGCAUGCAGGUGGUUGGUUAAGUCAGAUGUGAAAGCCCCGGGGCUCAACCUCGGGAACUGCAUUUGAAACUGGCUAACUAGAGUACUGUAGAGGGGGGUAGAAUUCAGGUGUAGCGGUGAAAUGCGUAGAGAUCUGAAGGAAUACCAGUGGCGAAGGCCGGCCCCCUGGAACAG